UUCCGGUUGAUCCCGCCGGAGGUCACUGCUAUUGGGAUUCGAUUAAGCCAUGCGAGUCGAGAGGGUUCGGCCCUCGGCUGACUGCUCAGUAACACGUGGAUAAUCUGCCCUUGGGUGGAGAAUAAUCUCGGGAAACUGAGAAUAAUACUCCAUAGAUCUAGGAGGCUGGAAUGCAUCUAGGUUAAAAGCUUCGGCGCCUAAGGAUGAGUCUGCGGGCUAUUAGAUUGUAGUCAGGGUAAUGACCUGACUAGUCUACGAUGGCUACGGGUUGUGAGAGCAAUCGCCCGGAGAUGAUAUCUGAGACACGAUAUCAGGUCCUACGGGAUGCAGCAGGCGCGAAAACUUCACACUGUGCGAAAGCACGAUGAGGGAAUCCCAAGUGCCAGCUCGUAAGAGUUGGCUGUUUUUUUGUCUAAAAAACAGAGAGAGUAAGAGCUGGGUAAGACGGGUGCCAGCCGCCGCGGUAAUACCUGCAGCUCGAGUGGUGACCGCUAUUAUUGGGCCUAAAACGUUCGUAGCCGGUUUCGUAAAUGCUUGGGUAAAUCGUUUGGCUUAACCAAACGAAUUCCGGGUAGACUACGAGACUUGAGAUCGGGAGAGGCUAGAGGUACUCCUGGGGUAGAGGUGAAAUUCUGUAAUCCUAGGGGGACCACCAGUGGCGAAGGCGUCUAGCUAGAACGAGUUUGACGGUGAGGAACGAAGCCCUGGGGCGCAAACGGGAUUAGAUACCCCGGUAGUCCAGGGUGUAAACGCUGCUCGCUUGAUGUUAGAUGGGCUCCGAGCCCAACUAGUGUCGGAAAGAAGUUGUUAAGCGAGCUGCCUGGGGAGUACGGUCGCAAGGCUGAAACUUAAAGGAAUUGGCGGGGGAGCACAGCACGGGAGGAGCGUGCGGGUUUAAUUGGAUUCAACGCCGGAAAUCACUAGUGCGGCCGCCUGCAGGUCGACCAUAU
rnacentral:rRNA from 1 species